GGCCGACUAGCUCAGUUGGUUAGAGCGUCGUGCUAAUACAGUUCGUUGGAGAGCUCUCUGCUCACCCGUGGAGCUCACCACCGAUCUGAUACGCGAAGGUCUUGGGUUCGAUCCCCACGUUGGCCA